AGUCGAGCGGUAGAGAGAAGCUUGCUUCUCUUGAGAGCGGCGGACGGGUGAGUAAUGCCUAGGAAUCUGCCUGGUAGUGGGGGAUAACGUUCGGAAACGGACGCUAAUACCGCAUACGUCCUACGGGAGAAAGCAGGGGACCUUCGGGCCUUGCGCUAUCAGAUGAGCCUAGGUCGGAUUAGCUAGUUGGUGGGGUAAUGGCUCACCAAGGCGACGAUCCGUAACUGGUCUGAGAGGAUGAUCAGUCACACUGGAACUGAGACACAGUCCAGACUCCUACGGGAGGCAGCAGUGGGGAAUAUUGGACAAUGGGCGAAAGCCUGAUCCAGCCAUGCCGCGUGUGUGAAGAAGGUCUUCGGAUUGUAAAGCACUUUAAGUUGGGAGGAAGGGCAGUAAAUUAAUACUUUGCUGUUUUGACGUUACCGACAGAAUAAGCACCGGCUAACUCUGUGCCAGCAGCCGCGGUAAUACAGAGGGUGCAAGCGUUAAUCGGAAUUACUGGGCGUAAAGCGCGCGUAGGUGGUUCGUUAAGUUGGAUGUGAAAUCCCCGGGCUCAACCUGGGAACUGCAUUCAAAACUGACGAGCUAGAGUAUGGUAGAGGGUGGUGGAAUUUCCUGUGUAGCGGUGAAAUGCGUAGAUAUAGGAAGGAACACCAGUGGCGAAGGCGACCACCUGGACUGAUACUGACACUGAGGUGCGAAAGCGUGGGGAGCAAACAGGAUUAGAUACCCUGGUAGUCCACGCCGUAAACGAUGUCAACUAGCCGUUGGGAGCCUUGAGCUCUUAGUGGCGCAGCUAACGCAUUAAGUUGACCGCCUGGGGAGUACGGCCGCAAGGUUAAAACUCAAAUGAAUUUGACGGGGGCCCGCACAAGCGGUGGAGCAUGGUGGUUUAAUUCGAAGCAACGCGAAGAACCUUACCAGGGCCUUGACAUCCAAUGACUUUUCUAGGAGAUAGAUUGGUGCUUCGGGACAUUGAGACAGGUGCUGCAU
rnacentral:rRNA from 1 species